CUAAGGAGCACUCGAGGAUGCCUGAAGUACUCUGCUGUUUACACAGAGUAAGCAAGGGCUAUUGACCUCGUAGCCAUUUCGGAGAAACCCUGUUCUUUCUGGACAGCACGCCUCCGGUGGCGCUCAUGGGUGGAACAUUGACAUUGUGAUCAGGACGAACGUUGUCUUCUCAGUACAUUCCUUCGGGAAUCGGAACGGGGGCCGGCGGGAGGCCUGGUCUUUGCACGCUGUUGGGUCCUGAGGGACCAGAACGGGGCUGCUCUUCGGGGUGGUGCUGGACUGUAUCUCAUGGACCUUGCCUGGAUCCCUUUGUGGGGAGCAGGUGGGGUACUGCCCGUACUUUGAGAACUACACAGUGGACGCGAGCAUCUUGAAUGCGCGGUGACAGGAUCCGGUUUACCGGUGAGUGUUGUUGUGUGUUCAAAGUAUGUAUCAAUGGCAACCCUUUAUUGGGUUGCGCAUUGGUCUUUAGCAAUUUUGUU
rnacentral:misc_RNA from 1 species